rnacentral:rRNA from 1 species
CCCAGAUGGGAUUAGCUAGUAGGUGGGGUAAAGGCUCACCUAGGCGACGAUCCCUAGCUGGUCUGAGAGGAUGACCAGCCACACUGGAACUGAGACACGGUCCAGACUCCUACGGGAGGCAGCAGUGGGGAAUAUUGCACAAUGGGCGCAAGCCUGAUGCAGCCAUGCCGCGUGUAUGAAGAAGGCCUUCGGGUUGUAAAGUACUUUCAGCGGGGAGGAAGGGAGUAAAGUUAAUACCUUUGCUCAUUGACGUUACCCGCAGAAGAAGCACCGGCUAACUCCGUGCCAGCAGCCGCGGUAAUACGGAGGGUGCAAGCGUUAAUCGGAAUUACUGGGCGUAAAGCGCACGCAGGCGGUUUGUUAAGUCAGAUGUGAAAUCCCCGGGCUCAACCUGGGAACUGCAUCUGAUACUGGCAAGCUUGAGUCUCGUAGAGGGGGGUAGAAUUCCAGGUGUAGCGGUGAAAUGCGUAGAGAUCUGGAGGAAUACCGGUGGCGAAGGCGGCCCCCUGGACGAAGACUGACGCUCAGGUGC